UUGAGCCGUGUGGAUCGAAAGACCCAUGCACGGUUCUGAGGGGGCUGGACGCGGGUGACCGCGCCCAGCUACCCGAC
rfam:Burkholderia udeis isolate LMG 27134 genome assembly, contig: contig000070